rnacentral:SRP_RNA from 1 species
GCUGCGUGUAGUGGCGUGCACCUCUAGUCCCAACUACUCAGGAGGCUGAGGCAGGAGGGUCCUCAGAUCCAGGAGUUCUGUGCUAUAGUGUGCUCUGUUGGUCUAGUGUCCACACUAAGUUCAGCACCAAUAUGGUGACCUCCUGGGAGCCGGGGACUACCAGGUUGCCUAAGGAGGGGUGAACCAGCUCAGGUUGGGGAAACAGAGCAGGUCAAAACUCCCAUGCUGAUCAGUAGUGGGAUCAUGCCUGUGAAUAGCCAGUGAACCAGCCUGGACAACAUAGUGAGAUCCCAUCUCU